rnacentral:tRNA from 1 species
CCUCGGCCGGUAUGCCGGGGCGCCGCGCCUCGUGCGCGCCACGGGCCAGGAGCGGUUCGACACCGCCGCCGGCGG